CAUAACAUCGCGUGAAAGCUGGGUAUAAUACCCGAUAGGUCUCGAUUGCUGGAAUGCAUCGAGAUUUAAAGCUCCGGCGCCUAAGGAUGGGUCUGCGGCCUAUCAGGUAGUAGUGGGUGUAGCGUACCUACUAGCCUACGACGGGUACGGGUUGUGAGAGCAAGAGCCCGGAGAUGGAUUCUGAGACACGAAUCCAGGCCCUACGGGGUGCAGCAGGCGCGAAAACUUUACAAUGCUGGCAACAGCGAUAAGGGAACCUCGAGUGCCAGGUUACAAAUCUGGCUGUCGAGAUGCCUAAAAAGCAUUUCAUAGCAAGGGCCGGGCAAGACCGGUGCCAGCCGCCGCGGUAACACCGGCGGCUCGAGUGGUAACCGUUAUUAUUGGGUCUAAAGGGUCUGUAGCCGGCCGGAUAAGUCUCUUGAGAAAUCUGGCAGCUUAACUGUCAGGCUUUCAGGAGAUACUGUCUGGCUCGAGGCCGGGAGAGGUGAGAGGUACUUCAGGGGUAGGGGUGAAAUCUUGUAAUCCUUGAAGGACUACCAGUGGCGAAGGCGUCUCACCAGAACGGACCUGACGGCAAGGGACGAAAGCUAGGGGCACGAACCGGAUUAGAUACCCGGGUAGUCCUAGCCGUAAACGAUACUCGCUAGGUGUCGGCCACGGUGCGACCGUUGUCGGUGCCGUAGGGAAGCCGUGAAGCGAGCCACCUGGGAAGUACGGCCGCAAGGCUGAAACUUAAAGGAAUUUGGCGGGGGAGCACCACAACGGGUGGAGCUUGCGGUUUAAUUGGAUUCAACGCCGGAAAUCUUACCGGGACCGACAGCAAUAUGAAGCCAAGGCUGAAGACUUUGCCGGAUUAGCUGAGAGUGGUGCAU
rnacentral:rRNA from 1 species